UCUCUGUACUGGCCAGUCAAAUCGUAUUUACACGAUGUCCACGGGAUGCGCGCGCACGCGGACUGAUUAGACAAGAAGGACGAUCAGCCAUUGUUUACAAAUGAGGUGCAAAAUAAUAACUUUUUUCUAACUGUGUGGCUUAUUAAGGAGUUUUAUAUAUCGGAAUGCCUCACCGAAAGAAAUCUCGUUUGGGAAGACGGCAUAAGAACAGCCAUAAGAUAAAAGAACAGAAGCUUAAAAUUGGUACUAGACUAUGACACUAGUUGGAAUGAAAAGAGCUAGAAUAAUUCCAUAUCAUAGAUGAAAUUGAAGAACAGAUCAGAAAGAAAGCAAUGAAGAAAGAAAAGGAUGACUUAAUUUCAAGAGCAGAUGAUACAAAAGUUCACCUGACGACCAAAAGGAACUGCACACCAACAUGAUCAAGAGCCUUUAUCAUUCAAUGGACUGACAAUUUCUGUUUUGUAGAGAAUAAAAAUCAUCAAAAUCUAUAACUGUAUUUUUUGUUUGCAUUU